rnacentral:tRNA from 4 species
AGUGGUAAAACAUCUCCUUGCCAAGGAGAAGAUACGGGUUCGAUUCCCGUCGCUCGCC